UACGUAGGGUGCGAGCGUUGUCCGGAAUCAUUGGGCGUAAAGCGCGCGCAGGCGGCCAGAUAAGUCCGGUGUGAAAGUCACAGGCUCAACCUGUGAAUGCCGCUGGAAACUGUCUGGCUAGAGUCCGGAAGGGGCGAGUGGAAUUCCUGGUGUAGCGGUGAAAUGCGCAGAUAUCAGGAGGAACACCAGUGGCGAAGGCGGUGCUCUGGGCCGGAACUGACGCUGAGGAGCGAAAGCGUGGGGAGCAAACAGG
rnacentral:rRNA from 1 species